rnacentral:piRNA from 1 species
UAGGCUAAUCUGAUGGAGGCAGUUCCUCAA